rnacentral:rRNA from 1 species
AGUGCAACCUUAAGUGGGUGGUAAGCUCCAUCUAAGGCUAAAUAUGACCACGAGACCGAUAGCAAACAAGUACCGUGAGGGAAAGUUGAAAAGAACUUUGAAGAGAGAGUUCAAAAGUACGUGAAACCGUUUAGGGGUAAACGAAAAAGAACUGAAAAACCGAAAAGGGAGAUUCACGUCUUCUCGUUUGUUAAUCAUUGUAAUUAUCAAGAUAACUAAUGAACUGUACCACGUUUGUAUUAGUUUGUUAAUUGCUUGAUUUUUAUUUGAGUAGCAGCGGUAGACCGCACUUCUCUCCAAGUAGGACGCCGCGACCCGCUGUCUUAUAAUUUAAGUUCAAACUGUUAGUCUUGUUGUGGCUAAAAUUAUUAGUUAUAACAAAAGGUUUGCUACUAAUUAAAUAGACUGCGGUAAAAAACGAUAGUGUUGAGUCGCUUAAACAAGCGUUUAACAGACUUUUAUUUUUUAAUAAUGGUAAAUUAGGAUUUGUACCCUUUUUUAUUAUUUUAAUUAUAAAAGUUUUGGUUAAACUGGCUCACAACACUAGUCGGCGGCGCUACAGUUUCAGUAACUUUUCCGACCCGUCGAAACACCCAAGGAGUCUAACAUGUGCGCAAGUCAUUAGGUAAUUAAACCUAAAGGCAUAACAAAAGUAAAAAAGCUUUGCUUUAUUAGGGAAGAUAGUUAUUACAAUAGUAGUAACUCGCACUCCCGGGGUGUCUAUUACUCAUUGCGAGUAAAGGCACACCUAGAGCGUACACGUUGGGACCCGAAAGAUGGUGAACUAUGCUUGGCCAGGAUGAAGCCAGGGGAAACCCUGGUGGAAGUCCGUAGCGAUUCUGACGUGCAAAUCGAUCGUCAGAGCUAGGUAUAGGGGCGAAAGACUUAUCGAACCAUCUAGUAGCUGGUUCCCUCCGAAGUUUCCCUCAGGAUAGCUGGUGCUAAUGAAACUUGAGUCUCAUCUGAUAAAGCGAAUGAUUAGAGGCAUUGGGGCCGAAACGACCUCAACCUAUUCUCAAACUUUAAAUUGAUGAGAGCCUUGGUUUGCUCAAAAAAUGAAGCCAGGGAUUAGGAUCAAAGUGCCAAGUGGGCCAAUUUUGGUAAUGUGGGAUGAACCAAACGUAAAGUUAAGGCGCCCGAAUCAACGCUCAUGAGACACCAUAAAAGGCGUUGGUUGCUUAAGACAGCAGGACGGUGGCCAUGGAAGUCGGAAUCCGCUAAGGAGUGUGUAACAACUCACCUGCCGAAGCAACUAGCCCUGAAAAUGGAUGGCGCUGGAGCGUUGUGCCUAUACUUUACCGUCAACAGCAAAUAAGGUGCACAUAAUUUUUUAUGUUGUGCUAUUAAGCUUUGACGAGUAGGAGGGUCGUUGCGAUGAGCGCAGAAGGGUUUAGGUGUAAACCUGCCUGGAGCCGUCGCUAGUGCAGAUCUUGGUGGUAGUAGCAAAUACUCCAGCGAGAUCCUGGAGGACUGUCGUGGAGAAGGGUUUCUUGUGAACAGCUGUUGCACAAGAGUCAGUCGAUCCUAAACUCUAGGAGAAAUCUCAUGUUGAUGAGUGCCAUUAAUCUAUAUAUUGGCAUUCAAUGAGUGAAAGGGAAUCCGGUUCCUAUUCCGGAACCUGAUAGCGGAACCGUUUUAAAUCGAGCCUUCAUGUGACUCGUCGGGGUAACCCAAAAAGACCCGGAGACGCCGUUGGAAGGUUUGGAGAGAGUUGUCUCUUCUUUAUAAGCGUUCGAGUUCCCUGGAAUCCUUCAGCAGGGAGAUAGGGUUUGGAACGCGAAGAGCACCGCAGUUACGGCGGUGUCCAAAUCUUUCCUUCGGACCUUGAAAAUCCGGGAGAGGGCAACGAGGAACACCGCAUCAGAUCGUACCCAUAUCCGCAGCA